AACUGUAGAUCCGAAUUUGUG
rnacentral:miRNA from 1 species